rnacentral:pre_miRNA from 1 species
GAAAGUUGACGAUGAGAGAGAGCACGCUGGUCGGCAAACAUGCAUUGGGACAUGAUUGUCUACCUGCGUGCUCUCUCUCGUUGUCACCGGCUUC